AGAAUUUUACUUUUUGCUGUUGUGGUCCUGGAAGCCUCCUGGUGCCGUCCUGAGAAGGCAUCUUGAGACCCACCUCCACCAGAACAUUGCUCGCUAAAGACAGCAAGGUUGAUUUCCCUCUGCUGGACAUGCCCUAGCUUUGGACUACUUUGUACUGACCACCCCAGCUGCACAACAGAAGACAUUGUCUGAUGUCUGUAGCAGAGAAUGCAGUACAUGUGGACAGAAAGGAGGGAAGAGGCGAAAAAGAAGAAGAAAGGAGCUUCCCCUUGCUUGCUUGCCUCAUGCAGAUGUCUCUUUAUGGAUGGCCUGCUUCUCCCCUUUGGUUUAGAGUCUGCUCUUAGAAAAGAUUGAAUAAAUGCAGCUUUGCACAUCUUUUUUUUGUCCUC
rnacentral:lncRNA from 1 species